rnacentral:rRNA from 1 species
UGGGGAAUAUUAGGCAAUGGGGGAAACCCUGACCUAGCCAUGCCGCGUGCGUGAAGAAGGUCUUAGGAUUGUAAAGCGCUUUCAGCGGGGAAGAUGAUGACGGUACCCGCAGAAGAAGCCCCGGCUAACUCCGUGCCAGCAGCCGCGGUAAUACGGAGGGGGCUAGCGUUGUUCGGAAUUACUGGGCGUAAAGGGCGUGUAGGCGGCCAAUUAAGUCAGAGGUGAAAUCCCCGAGCUCAACUUGGGAACUGCCUUUGAUACUGAUUGGCUAGAGUUCGGGAGAGGGUAGUGGAAUUCCAAGUGUAGAGGUGAAAUUCGUAGAUAUUUGGAGGAACACCAGUGGCGAAGGCGGCUCACUGGCUCGAUACUGACGCUGAGGUGCGAAAGUGUGGGGAGCAAACAGGAUUAGAUACCCUGGUAGUCCACACCGUAAACGAUGAAUGCCAGUUGUCGGGUAGCAUGCUAUUCGGUGACACACCUAACGGAUUAAGCAUUCCGCCUGGGGAGUACGGUCGCAGAUUAAAACUCAAAUGAAUU